rnacentral:rRNA from 1 species
UGAAACUGCGAAUGGCUCAUUAGAACAGUUAUAGUUUAUUUGAUGGUUCCUUUUACGUGGAUAACCGUGGUAAUUCUAGAGCUAAUACAUGCAAAAAUGGGGGACCCCGUGGAAACCCAGCAUUUAUUAGAUCCAAGCCAUCGGCCUCGUGCCUUGCUUGAGGACUCAUAAUAACUUUGCGGAUCGCACGGCCUUGCGCCGGCGACGUGUCAUUCAAGUUUCUGACCUAUCAGUUAGUCGGUAGUGUAUUGGGCUACUGAGGCAUUGACGGGUAACGGAGAAUUAGGGUUCGAUUCCGGAGAGGGAGCCUGAGAAACGGCUACCACAUCUAAGGAAGGCAGCAGGCGCGUAAAUUACCCAAUCCUGACUCAGGGAGGUAGUGACAAAAAAUCACAAUAUUUCACCCAAUGGGUUAAAUAAUUGUAUUGAGAACAGGCUAAACAUGUUACCGAUAAACUAUUGGAGGGCAAGUCUGGUGCCAGCAGCCGCGGUAAUUCCAGCUCCAAUAGCGUAUACUAACGUUGUUGCAGUUAAAAAGCUCGUAGUUGGAUUUCUAAGCCUGCCAGUUCCGUCUGACCUUUAAGAGUCAGCACGGUGCCUGGCGUGUCUUAUUAUGCGUUUAAUGGCGUUUGCUAUUCGUUUAGCGAGUGCCGUGAGAGCGCGUGUUUACUUUGAGAAAAUUAGAGUGUUCAAAACAGUCUUUCGAUUGUAUAUCAUAGCAUGGAAUAAUAACUGAUGACAACGGUCUCUGUUGUUGGCUUUCGGUGACUGAUGUAAUGAUUGAUAGAGUCAGUCGGAGGCAUUAGUAUUUUAUCGUUAGAGGUGAAAUUCACAGAUCGAUAAAAGACUAACAACUGCGAAAGCAUUUGUCUAGGAUGUGCUCUUUGAUCAAGAACGAAAGUUGGGGGAUCGAAGACGAUCAGAUACCGUCGUAGUCUCAACUAUAAACUAUACCAGCUAGGGAUUGGCGAAUGUUUGUUUGACUUCGUCAGAACCUUAUGAGAAAUCAAAGCAUUUGGGUUCCGGGGGGAGUAUGGUCGCAAGGCUGAAACUUAAAGGAAUUGACGGAAGGGCACCACAAGCCGUGGAUCCUGUGGCUUAAUUUGACUCACACGGGAAACUUACCAGGUCCGGACAUAGUUAGGAUUGACAGAUUGAGAGCUCUUUCUUGAUUCUAUGGGUGGUGGUGCAUGGCCGUUCUUAGUUGGUGGAGUGAUUUGUCUGGUUAAUUCCGUUAACGAACGAGACCGCCACCUGCUAAAUAGCUUACUGGACUUUUGUUCAUUUGGCUUCUUAGAGGGACUGUUCGGCGUCCAACCGAAAGGAAGUUGGCGGCAAUAACAGGUCUGUGAUGCCCUUAGAUGUUCUGGGCCGCGCACGGGCUACAAUGGCGGAUACAACAAGCCCUCACUAUCCCGGUUCGAAAGGAUCGGGGAAUCUUGAACAUCUCGCCAUGGUUGGGAUCGGACAUUGUAAUUAUUGUCCGUGAACGAGGAAUGCCUGGUAGAUACAGGUCAUUAGCCUGUGUCGACUACGUCCCUGCCCUUUGUACACACCGCCCGUCGCUCCUACCGAUUGGAUGAAUUGGUGAGUAAACAGGAGUCUUGGGCUAGCGGCUUCGGCCGCUGCUCGGGGCGAAAGUAUGCUAACUCGCGCAUCUAGAGGAAGGAGAAGUCGUAACAAGGUUUCCGUAGGUGAACCUGCAGAAGGA